rnacentral:rRNA from 1 species
UACGUAGGGGGCAAGCGUUGUCCGGAUUUAUUGGGCGUAAAGGGCGCGUAGGCGGCCACGCACGUCCGUUGUGAAAUCGCCCGGCUCAACUGGGCGGGGUCAGCGGAUACGGUGUGGCUAGAGCAAGCUAGGGGGCAAUGGAAUUCCCGGUGUAGUGGUGGAAUGCGUAGAUAUCGGGAGGAACACCAGUGGCGAAGGCGGUUGCCUGGAGCUUUGCUGACGCUGAUGCGCGAAAGCGUGGGGAGCAAACAGG